rnacentral:misc_RNA from 1 species
GUGAAUCAUCGAAUUUUUGAACGCAAAUUGCACUCUCCUCUGAGAGGAUGCCUGUUUGAGGUUCAGCCUAUAAAAAUCGACAUCUUUUCUGUUUCGCGGUGGCGUUCGUCGGAAAUUGGGUCAUCUUAAAUCCUUUUGAUUUAAGCGACUUAAAAUUUUCCUUUGGUUCCAUUAACUUUUCUAAUACCUAUUUCUUUACACGUUUAAGGUAUCGAUUUUUACUAGACGUAACCAUCAUAUCUGAUCACUUCCAUAAUCUUUCAUUAACUUACCUCACA